UUGACCUUGUUAUUUGUAUUGAGGAUUUUCUGCCAAAAACACAACAGAACUGAAACAUUGCCAAAACCAAAGGCAACUGCUAACAGCAGCCUUGUCUACCAUUUCAUGCCUCACAACAUCCAGCAGCAGAAAACCAGUCAUCUUACUUUGACCAUCUUUCUAGCAAAAAAAAACCAACACAUUUGUCUCUCAAAACUAACCUAGCUGUUAACUGCAUUCCCAUUUUAUUCCUAUCAUGCUGCAGACCAAUGGUAGGCACAAAAGCCAGCCUAACACAAAGC
rnacentral:lncRNA from 1 species